GUCAGGGUAACUCAGUUGGUAGAGCAGAGGAUUGAAAAUCCUCGUGUCACUAGUUCAAAUCUGGUUCCUGGCA
rnacentral:tRNA from 1 species